CCUUUAUGUGGUGUUUGCCAGUAACAGCUGACUCUACCAAGGUUGCAGCUGGAACUGCAACAUGUCAAAUUGACCUCUAUCCAAGGCCCCAAGGCUUCUCUUAAUGGCUCUAUUCAUCAAGGGCAUGGACCUCUCUGAAUGACCACAAAAGCGAGUGUAUGAAGGUGCAGAUUUAUGGAGCAGCCCAGUCGCUGAUGGCCACAGUCCAUCCUAAAAAAAGUGAUUUGUUCGGAGAUUACAGACACAGAAGACAGAGAGAGAAGCAGUAAUGAUGCCGCGGGCAGAUCAUCACCGUGUGUCUGUGUGAGAGAAAGUCGGUGUCCUUCUGAAUGUGGUCUCUACUUGGACGACCGUCUCUCAGCAGUGCAGCGAUACAGGAGCUAACCAAGGACACUUGGAGAGGGCACCUUCAGUCUCCUCUGCCCAGACCUCCAGCCAUAUGUGGCCUGGUUUGAGCAGCAGUGUUGAUGGGGCUUUUGGCAGAGUGAGAUGGUUCCCCCUCUGUUCUACUUAAUUACCUGUGUGAUGGAGUGGUUCGCCCCCAGCAGGGCCGCUGUGCCGCACCGUGUCAAGGGGCAGGACGGACACGCCGAGCUGACCAGUCUCACCUGCCUCACCUUUCUCUGUCUGUCUUGUCAUAUGAGAUUAAUAAUAAAAUAGCAACAGCCCAAGAGGUGUUUAGUCA